rnacentral:rRNA from 1 species
GUCCACGCCGUAAACGAUGUCAACUAGCCGUUGGAGACCUUAGAGUCUUUAGUGGCGCAGCUAACGCACUAAGUUGACCGCCUGGGGAGUACGGCCGCAAGGUUAAAACUCAAAUGAAUUGACGGGGCCCGCACAAGCGGUGGAGCAUGUGGUUUAAUUCGAUGCAACGCGAAGAACCUUACCGCCCCUUUACCAUCCUGGGAACUCGCUAGAGAUAGCUUGGUGCCGAAAGGAACCCAGAGACAGGUGCUGCAUGGCUGUCGU